UACGAAGGGAGCUAGCGUUGUUCGGAAUUACUGGGCGUAAAGCGCACGUAGGCGGAUGUGUCAGUCAGGGGUGAAAUCCCGGAGCUCAACUCCGGAACUGCCUCUGAUACAGCACGUCUUGAGUCCGAUAGAGGUGGGUGGAAUUCCUAGUGUAGAGGUGAAAUUCGUAGAUAUUAGGAAGAACACCGGUGGCGAAGGCGGCCCACUGGAUCGGUACUGACGCUGAGGUGCGAAAGCGUGGGGAGCAAACAGG
rnacentral:rRNA from 1 species